rnacentral:lncRNA from 1 species
GAUGACGGAAUUGCAUGAACAAGCCAAAGACGAGCUCAAAGAGUUCAAGACCGAAGACCCAAGACGUAGGUCGUUUGGUAGAACCUAUGUAGGAACAACGCUUAAGUUAUCUCGUCUUUUGGAUCAACAUUAGGUCAUCAUAAAUAUGCAUAAAACAUUUGAUUAAAUCUUAUUUAUCAUAAACAUGAAUCUUUGUGUUAAACCAAAAUGAUUUGUAUUUUAGUCAAAAUGGUUUUUAAAUAUGUCUUUUAAAUCUGGACCUAAACAAUCGAUUAUAUGCUCCUUACAAUCGAUUGUGUUUUUCAAAAUAGCAAACAAUCG